CUCCGCCCACCUCCUCCCUGCCCUCCUCCCGGGGAGGAGACGCCGCUCCAGCGGGAGGCAGGAUGGUUGCUACCUGGGGCGGCCGCCAGCUCCUCCCGCAGGGCUCCGGGCCGCCCCUCGCCCCAGGGUCGCCGGCUCCUAGUGCGGCCCAGGCUUCCCGGCCGGCCCCUCCCAGACCUAGGAAGACGUCCCCCGGGCCCCCUCAGCCCUCCACCUCCCCUCUCUCCCUUUCUCCCGGCUCCUGGCAGGCUGCAGCCGUCUCCUCCUGGUGCUCCCUCCUUCCUUGAGCUCUGUCCACCGCUGCCCACUGGGGGCUACAGCUUCUCGGCUACCCUGGAAGCUGGAGGCCGGGACCAGCUCUUCAGGUGACAGGCCUCUGUGUCUCCACAGUGGGCAGAGGGGAGCCUGCCUGGCUGAUGAGCAAGGCUCGACUUUGUCACCAAGGCAGAGAAGGGGCCCGGGUAAAUGACCCCGGCGGCCCCCACCCCUGCCUGGCGUGAGAGUGGGUAGGGGCUUCGGACUUGAGGGGACUGGAGCGGGAAUAAGGGUCUUCUCCGGCUCAGCCUUUGACUGAAGCUGGUCUGGAGACAGGGGCGUUAGAGAAGUGACUCAUAGAUGACCUAAAGAAGCGGGGCCACUCAAGGACCCAGGACAGAGGGAAGAGGGCCAACCCAGCUGGACCGCAGGCAAACCCCAUGGCCUUUGAGAGAAGAGAGAAGAGGACCCGGUGAAGUAGACUCGGAGGGCCUCAGCCCAGCAGGAGUGCGGGGUGGGCGUGUGAUGUCAGCGAAGGGAGGACAGUGACCUGGGGGAGGGCCGCUUUGAGGGAGAGUGCAGGCCAUGGCCAGACAGCUCUGGGAGUCGCGGGCAGGGGAGACUUUCAGAUAUUGCUUGUCCAAGGGGUGGGGGUGGAAGGGAGAGAGAACAGAGAGGCUCGAGAGGAUGUAG
rnacentral:lncRNA from 1 species